rnacentral:rRNA from 1 species
AGUGAACGCUGGCGGUAGGCCUAACACAUGCAAGUCGAACGGCAGCACAGUAAUAGCUUGCUCUUACGGGUGGCGAGUGGCGGACGGGUGAGGAAUACAUCGUAAUCUACUUUUUCGUGGGGCUACCGUAGGGAAACUUACGCUAAUACCGCAUACGCCCUACGGGUGAAAGCAGUGGAUCUUCUGACCUUGCGCGAGUGAAUGAGCCGAUGUCGGAUUAGCUAGGUGGCGGGGUAAAGGCCCACCACGGCGACGAUCCGUAGCUGGGGGGAGAGGAUGAUAGGCCGCACUGGAAGGGAGACACGGUCAAGACUCCUACGGGAGGGAGCAGUGGGGAAUAUUGGACAGUGGGCGCAAGCAUGAUCCAGUGGUACCGCGUGGGUGAAGAAGGCGUUCGGGUUGUAAAGCCGUUUUGUUGGUAAAGAAAAGCAGCCGGUUGAUACGACGCUGUUCUGACGGUAACCAAAGAAUAAGCACCGGCUAACUUCGUG